ACGGCUCAGUAACACGUGGACAACCUGCCCAAAGGUCCGGGAUAACCCCGGGAAACUGGGGAUAAUACCGGAUAAAUCACAAGUACUGGAAGGUUUUGUGGUUGAAACUUCCGGGGCCUUUGGAUGGGUCUGCGGCUGAUUAGGUUGUUGCCGGUGUAACGUACCGUCAAGCCUGUAAUCAGUACGGGUUGUGGGAGCAAGAGCCCGGAGAUGGAUUCUGAGACACGAAUCCAGGCCCUACGGGGCGCAGCAGGCGCGAAAACUCUACAAUGCAGGCAACUGCGAUAGGGGAACAUCGAGUGAUACUCAUCUUGGGUGUCUGUCCUCCCGUCUAAAAAACGGGAGUUAGCAAGGGCCGGGCAAGACCGGUGCCAGCCGCCGCGGUAAUACCGGCGGCUCGAGUGGUGGCCGAUAUUAUUGAGUCUAAAGGGUCCGUAGCCGGCUUCGCAAGUCUUUUGGGAAAUCCAGCGGCUUAACCGUUGGUCGUCCGGGAGAUACUACAUUGCUUGGGACUGGGAGAGGUAGGAGGUACUCAGGGGGUAGGAGUGAAAUCCUGUAAUCCUUUGGGGACCACCGGUGGCGAAGGCGUCCUACCAGAACAGGUCCGACGGUGAGGGACGAAAGCUAGGGGCACGAACCGGAUUAGAUACCCGGGUAGUCCUAGCCGUAAACGAUGCUCGCUAGGUGUCACAACAAUCGUGAAUUGUUGUGGUGCCGUAGGGAAGCCGUGAAGCGAGCCACUUGGGAAGUACGACCGCAAGGUUGAAACUUAAAGGAAUUGGCGGGGGAG
rnacentral:rRNA from 1 species